GUGGGGAAUAUUGGACAAUGGGCGAAAGCCUGAUCCAGCCAUGCCGCGUGUGUGAAGAAGGUCUUCGGAUUGUAAAGCACUUUAAGUUGGGAGGAAGGGCAGUAAGUUAAUACCUUGCUGUUUUGACGUUACCGACAGAAUAAGCACCGGCUAACUUCGUGCCAGCAGCCGCGGUAAUACGAAGGGUGCAAGCGUUAAUCGGAAUUACUGGGCGUAAAGCGCGCGUAGGUGGUUUUGUAAGUUGGAGGUGAAAUCCCCGGGCUCAACCUGGGAACUGCCUCCAAAACUGCAUGACUAGAGUACGGUAGAGGGUAGUGGAAUUUCCGGUGUAGCGGUGAAAUGCGUAGAUAUAGGAAGGAACACCAGUGGCGAAGGCGACUACCUGGACUGAUACUGACACUGAGGUGCGAAAGCGUGGGGAGCAAACAGGAUUAGAAACCCUAGUAGUCC
rnacentral:rRNA from 1 species